rnacentral:rRNA from 1 species
AAUGCUAAGAGAAUGGAAAUCCAGAAAAAAGCUUUUUUUAAAUUAAAAAUUGAAGUUUUUUUAAUUUGUGCAGAAACAAUUAUUUAUAUUAAGGACAAGAAGACCCUAUGAAUUUAUUAAAUUUUUAUUUAAUAUGUAAUUACUAUUAGAAAAAUUUUGGCUGGGGCGGCUAGAAAAUAUUAUAAACUUUUUAAAAAUAAAAUGAUCCAUUAUUAGUGAUUUUAUGUUAAAUACUCUAGGGAUAACAGCG